rnacentral:rRNA from 1 species
CCUACGGGUGGCAGCAGUGAGGAAUAUUGGUCAAUGGGCGAGAGCCUGAACCAGCCAAGUCGCGUGAGGGAGUACUGCCCUAUGGGUUGUAAACCUCUUUUGUCGGGGAGCAAAAGCCGGACGUGUCCGGCUGUGAGAGUACCCGAAGAAACAGCAUCGGCAAACUCCGUGCCAGCAGCCGCGGUAAUACGGGGGAUGCGAGCGUUAUCCGGAUUUAUUGGGUUUAAAGGGUGCUCAGGCGGAUUUUUAAGUCAGCGGUAAAAUCGUGGGGCUCAACCCCAUCCAGCCGUUGAAACUGGGGGUCUAGAGUGUGCGAGGGGGAUGCGGAAUGCGUGGUGUAGCGGUGAAAUGCGUAGAUAUCGCGCGGAACCCCGGUGGCGAAGGCAGCAUACCGGUGAACAACUGACGCUCAGGCACGAAGGCGUGGGUAGCGAACAGGAUUAGAUACCCGGGUAGUC